CAGGAUUGUGGUUUAUGCUGAUGUCCCCCACUUAAUAAAGCUGCAGAGAAAUCAUUUUUUGGAUUUGGACUUUACUAUCAAUGGAAAAAUUGUUAUAAAAGACAUUAUUCUGAAGCUGCUCUCGCUUACGUCCAACGAGCUUUCCAGUACGCACAAAAUUUCCCAGAAGCAUUUGUCUGUAACAGGAGCGGAAAGGUAAAAGGUUAAACUAGCCAYAAAAUUGUUCUCCCACACAAUUGCUCAAGCAAUAACUCGAGCGGCUAGAUUAGGUGUACUAGAUAACGAAAAUUGGGAGGAAUGCCAUCGACUUUUCGAACUUAAAAAUGACUGGUUUGAUCUAAUGAGUAUCAGAUGAUAAAGAUGGAAUGAGGGAACGCUUGCAUGAGAAAGAAAAAUAAUGUACUGGAGCAGACGACGGAGAUAAGAGUCAUUGGUAUACYCCAAAGCAAUAAUGAUUUGAAAUUCCUGCUGGAUGACUUAAGACAGCAGUACAAAAUUGAUUACGUUUUGACUUACCGAUUAAACCAGGACGUUUUGGAAAUUUUUUUUGGCUUAAUCAGAUGAAAAGGCAGUCUUCAUGAUCAGCCUKACCGGCAGGAGUUCAAAUAUAGGCUGCGUUUCUAUAUAAUUGGUCAAAAUGAAGGAGCGAUCACAGAAGAAGGAAAUGUUGAAGUCGACAACACACCAGAUUUGGAAGGGAAUUACUUAUCACUAGUCGGUAAUAUUUUUCAACGUGGGUAAGUUGAUUUAAAUUCCACUGACCAAUUGAAAAAAAUUAUGACUUGGAGAUUCUCAACAACGAAGGACCUGAGWAUUUUGCAGGGUACAUCUGCCACAAACUUGGUAAAGAAAACCCCGAAAUUUGUGCCAAUUCAGAAAAUUGUUCGUCUUAUACCUGGGUGAAUCACCUUUCUGAAGGAGAACUCUCAAAACCAACAGAUAUGUUGAUGCAGCAUAUAAUAUGAGAGCCUUGCGAGCAGUAUUAGACGACAUAAAUGGUACUGAUUUGCAUAUAUGUACAAAUUAUGUA